rnacentral:tRNA from 1 species
AGAAACUUAGGAUAGCCUAAGUCCAAGAGCCUUCAAAGCUCUCAGCAGGAGUUAGAAUCUCCUAGUUUCUG